rnacentral:lncRNA from 1 species
GUUUAUCUUUGGAUCUCUCUCCAUGAAGGGUCCUGGCAUCCAUCUUCACAGGGAUACAUACUACCGAGCGAGCAGUUUCUCAAUGCUUGCUCAUUUCUCACCUGUCACUUCUUCCUUAGCUAAACUUACAGUGUAGGGCAAAGAUUGCUGAGCUAGGCAUUUGCCGUACAAUCCAGGGGUUGCCUCAGCUCUCAUUUAUCCUGACAAUGCCACUCAACACAGGGCCUGGCUCAUUUACCCUGUGAAUCUGUCAGCCAUCCCUUAGCUAGACCCAGGAAAUAUUCUUCAACCAGCAAAUGGCUAAUGACAACGUGGUCCACAUACACUGUGGAACACUAAUCAGCUGUAAAGAAAAAAAAAAUGAAAUCAUGAACUUGCAGGUUCCUACCUUCAAAUAUUCAGAGGUGAGCACAGAGCCAGUAGGAACUGCAGAAACCAGGAAGUAAACAGGACCAUUGUCCAAGUCAAAGUUAAGGUAGGGGACUGACGGAGUCCAAUCCCAAUGGAUAUAUCUACAAAACAGUUCUCCUACCUAAGGCUCCAAGAUCAUUGCAGAAGAGGGGCGGAAAGACUGUAAGAGCCAGAGCGUCAGGGAGUUGCUGUGAAACUGCCUCCUAGUAAUGGCAAAAGCUACAUGGACGGUGUACAUCUCACUAACUUGACUGCCUAAGCAAGAACUGAACAAGGCCAAUGGCAGUAGACGCCAAAGUGGACGGUGGAAAGCCUAUAUGAUCGCAACCCUAAACAGAGAACUCUUGGCGACUAGCUGAGGGUGGAGAAAUAGUCUCCCCUAGAGGAGAGCAUGCCAAUCGCUUACCCAAUACUAAAUGGUAAACACUGAAAACGCACACAUCAGUAACAUUAUAUAGACUGAGCAGAUUCUAUAUUCUAUAUGUAGGAGCAUGUGUGCGUGCGUGUGUGUGUGUGUGUGUGUGUGUGUGUGUGUGUGUGUGUGUGUGUGUGUAAAACAAUAGUUAUUGAAGAAAGAACAUGAAUUUGAAGAAGAACAAGGAGGAGCACCUAGGAGGUUUGGAAGGAGGAGGGGGAAGGGAAUAUGGUUUAAUUAUAAUCUCAAAAACUAAGAGAAAUACUUAAAAAAAAAAAACAGCUCUUCUCUCUGGAUUUCUGGUCAUCAAGGCUCUCUUGCACAAACAGCAGCUCUCCAUAAGUCAUACAGAAAACUGUCCUUUUCAAUGUUUUUUGCUUUUUCCCUGGGGGUGACGAUCCUUCACAUUCUCCUGUUUCCCCCAAAGCAGGAACGCCCCUGAAGACUGAGUUAUUAACCAUUGUUUUACACCUAUUCCCAUCCACAAAAACAUAAACCAUCCGCAGCUCCUAUUUGGGCAAGAGAGUAAAGAAAUAAAAUGGAGUCACAAAAGAAGGUUGAAGGGCUAGAAGAUUCAUAUUAAGACAAAUUAAGUUUUGAUAGAUAUUACUUUAAGCAUGAACAAAAGGCAGUACAAUAAUUAUUUUAAACUAAUUAUUCAGAGGAUCCUUUCAGCCUCCCAAAUAUUCAUUUAUUCAUGGGAGCGAUCCCACCCAAGCUCUCCACGGGCCUGCUGAGUCAUUAUCUUUCUGCAAUAUUCUAAUUAGCUCUAUUCAACAAUAAGUUAACUGGCAGAGGGCACUAAUAGGCUCCUUAAUGUAGAAAAAUGGUUUAUAUAAAUUUCAAACUAGUUUCUAAAUUUUUUCUUCUUUCCAAUUGGGAUUCUGGUGACAAGCUACAAUAAAAUCCUCUAAAUGUUAUUUAUUUAUUUAUUUAUUUAUUUAUUUAUUUAUUUAUUUAUUUAUUUGUGUGUGUGUGUAUGAGACAAGUGAGGCAUGUGGAGGUCAGAGGACAACGUGCAGGGCUAGGU